rnacentral:lncRNA from 1 species
GCCAGAUGCUGCAAAGAGAAAAAGACUCAACUCUUCCUAAAGAGUUCACAAAAAAUUGGGGGAAUAACACAUCAGAUGACUCAAUUUCAUAGAAUGGAACCCACUCACCCCCGAAAGCAUCUAAUACUCAGCCAGUUCCAAUAGAACAAUGGUAACAUGGUGGUCAGUAGGGCCGUCCCUUCUGGGAACAUGGCAGGACUGCCCUUCCCUCUCCUUUGAAGCUAGGUGUGGCCAUGUGACUUGGUUUGGCCAAUGAAACGUGAGUGGAAGUGACAUGUACCCCUCCUGGGAAGAAGCUUUAAGAGGUA